CGGCCGGGCUGGCUGUGUCUCUGGCCCUGGGUCGCGGGGUCCAGAGCUUCCUGGCACCCACCUGCCCUCGGCCGCGCUGUGACGGCUUCCUGGUCCUGCUGGCUCUGCUGAGGUCCCCGCAGCCGGUCUCGAGCCCCAGGUAAUGCCUCC
rfam:Tupaia chinensis contig17435, whole genome shotgun sequence.